rnacentral:rRNA from 1 species
CAACAGCUCAAAUUUGAAAUCCGGCUCUUUCAGGGUCCGAGUUGUAAUUUGCAGAGGGCGCUUUGGCGUUGGCAGCGGUCCAAGUUCUUUGGAACAGGACGUCACAGAGGGUGAGAAUCCCGUACGUGGUCGCUAGCCUUCGCCGUGUAAAGCCCCUUCGACGAGUCGAGUUGUUUGGGAAUGCAGCUCUAAAUGGGAGGUAAAUUUCUUCUAAAGCUAAAUACUGGCCAGAGACCGAUAGCGCACAAGUAGAGUGAUCGAAAGAUGAAAAGCACUUUGGAAAGAGAGUCAAAUAGCACGUGAAAUUGUUGAAAGGGAAGCGCUUGCAGCCAGACUUGCCUGUAGUUGCUUAUCCGGACUUUUGUCCGGUGCACUCUUCUGCGGGCAGGCCAGCAUCAGUCUAGGCGGUUGGAUAAAGGUCUCUGUCAUGUACCUCUCUUCGGGGAGGCCUUAUAGGGGAGACGACAUGCAACCAGCCUGGACUGAGGUCCGCGCAUCUGCUAGGAUGCUGGCGUAAUGGCUGUAAGCGGCCCGUCUUGAAACACGGACCAAGGAGUCUAACAUCUAUGCGAGUGUUUGGGUGUCAAGCCCAGACGCGUAAUGAAAGUGAACGGAGGUGGGAACCCUUACGGGUGCACCAUCGACCGAUCCUGAUGUCUUCGGAAGGAUUUGAGUAAGAGCAUGGCUGUUGGGACCCGAAAGAUGGUGAACUAUGCUUGAAUAGGGUGAAGCCAGAGGAAAC